CCGGGUGUGAAUUGAGAUACAAUUUUUUCUGUUUCACAGCAGUGACAAAGCAAACAGUGCUGAAAAUGAAGCUUCAGUCAGAGGCAGACAUGCACAGCACAGAGAUCCAGCAGCAGGUUUCACAGCAGCUGUCAGGCCUCAUGCUGUCAGAAGGACUGACAGACUUCAGGAUUCGAUGGAGGAAAGUCCAGAGUUACCGUGACGACCAGUCGAAGAAGCAGGAUGUGGACGGUGGCUGCAAAACUGAAUUCUGACUGGACUGAACCACUUCAUGUGUGAUGUUAAUAACAUGCUGUGCUGAGCUGUCUCAUCCUUUAAAUCUUUCAAUAUUUCAGAGUGUAAAGUUCCACCAACAGCUCAUUUGUUCAGCUGCAGUUGUAGUUUGGUAGAAAUUCUUUAAUCAGAGGUCCACUCACUAGUUUUCCUGAUAGGCUCUAGUCUCUUGUUUUGUUUUGCAUCAUGUCUUUCAACACUUUAGACUCUGUCCGUCUGUGGACGUCACUGCACAGGCUUUGUCUGUGUGCAUUUAUUAGGAUCCAUAGUUCUGUUUGAUUGUGACAGCAACCUCUGCUGACUUACACAAAUGGUAAAGAAGAAAGUGAGGAGAGCCAGAGGUCUGCUUGAGGAGGUCAGGGUGGACAGCAAAACAUUGUAUUGUUCAUGUCCUUUUUCUACUUUUACUGUUUGAUAACUGCAACACCUAAAAGUGAGACCAUAACAGUCCCAAACCUUCCUGAUAUAAAUUUGGAUGAUGUAUGCAUUGAUGUCCUUGUAUCUGACACUUCACUGUCCCGUUGGGGGAGCAGAAAAGUUGAAGAAAAUAGAGCAGCUGAUGAGUUAAGUGAGGAAGUACAGGU